AUUGAACGCUGGCGGCAGGCCUAACACAUGCAAGUCGAGCGGAUGAAGGGAGCUUGCUCCUGGAUUCAGCGGCGGACGGGUGAGUAAUGCCUAGGAAUCUGCCUGGUAGUGGGGGAUAACGUCCGGAAACGGGCGCUAAUACCGCAUACGUCCUGAGGGAGAAAGUGGGGGAUCUUCGGACCUCACGCUAUCAGAUGAGCCUAGGUCGGAUUAGCUAGUUGGUGGGGUAAAGGCCUACCAAGGCGACGAUCCGUAACUGGUCUGAGAGGAUGAUCAGUCACACUGGAACUGAGACACGGUCCAGACUCCUACGGGAGGCAGCAGUGGGGAAUAUUGGCCAAAGGGCGAAAUCCUGAUCCAGCCAUGCCGCGUGUGUGAAGAAGGUCUUCGGAUUGUAAAGCACUUUUAGUUGGGAGGAAGGGCAGUAAGUUAAUACCUUGCUGUUUUGACGUGACCAACAGAAUAAGCACCGGCUAACUUCGUG
rnacentral:rRNA from 1 species